UACGAAGGGGGCUAGCGUUGCUCGGAAUUACUGGGCGUAAAGGGCGCGUAGGCGGUCCUGAUCGUCGGAUGUGAAAGGCCUGGGCUCAACCUGGGAAUGGCAUCCGAUACGGCGGGACUGGAGUGUGGGAGAGGUUGGUGGAAUUCCCAGUGUAGAGGUGAAAUUCGUAGAUAUUGGGAAGAACACCGGUGGCGAAGGCGGCCAACUGGACCACAACUGACGCUGAGGCGCGAAAGCGUGGGGAGCAAACAGG
rnacentral:rRNA from 1 species